UACGUAGGGUGCAAGCGUUAAUCGGAAUUACUGGGCGUAAAGCGUGCGCAGGCGGUUAUGCAAGUCAGAUGUGAAAUCCCCGGGCUCAACCUGGGAACUGCAUUUGUGACUGCAUGGCUAGAGUACGGUAGAGGGGGAUGGAAUUCCGCGUGUAGCAGUGAAAUGCGUAGAUAUGUGGAGGAAUACCGAUGGCGAAGGCAGCCCCCUGGGAUAACACUGACGCUCAUGCACGAAAGCGUGGGGAGCAAACAGG
rnacentral:rRNA from 1 species